AGGUACCUGUUCUCCAGAAUUGGACCAGAUCCGUCUGCCUCCAGAGAAUUAUAUAAAUGAAGUACUGAAAAACAUCCUGCAGAGUGACAAUCUUUAACUGCAACCCACAACUGUCUAAACCUAUCUGACAGGCAUAAACUGUGACAUGCCCAUGAGUGGCAGUCUUUAUCAUGCGAAGAAAUACAGAGAUUAGCCACAUGACAACAGCCAUUCUCCAAAGAAGGUAUUUGACUCCUCCCCGAUUUAACAAUAAGGCAAUUAAAAUUGGCACGAAAACAAAAGACGACUAUUUCAAACAAUGCAUUAACUCCAGCAAUUCUGAAUGGCCAUAUAUUCUCUCAUAUGAAGGCUUAUACUACUCAUCUUCCCAAGACAAGAAGUCAACAUUCUCG
rnacentral:lncRNA from 1 species